rnacentral:lncRNA from 10 species
UUAUCCAUAAAUAUGCCCUUCAUUUAUAAAAAUAUUUUUUGGAAUAAUGAUUCUCUUAGUAUGUCUGUCUCCUGCCACUGGAUUCUAUGUCUCCUAAGAAUGGACAGGAACAGCAUCCUGUUCAUCUUAUGUCUCCAGUAGCAAUUCCAGGGCCUGGCUCAUUGUAAUUGGUCAACAGUUGCUUGUUGAGUUUCUUUAUAAUUAAAUGCAGAUCCCGUAGUAAUUCACAUGAGUAGGAAAACGAUGAGGAUUGGGAUGACCUUAGAGGAGGUUCAGAGAAUAAGUGUUGUUGGUAGUGACCCAGAAAGAUUGGAUAGAAUUUGAGUUGACAGAGAACAGAGGGAAAGUAAUUUAAGCAGGGAGUAAAAUGAGCAAAAUGCAAUGACUGGAAAGCACAAAGCUCAUUUCAAAUGUGAUUUACUUUACAAAUAUUUUUACAUAUACAGUCAUCCCUCAGUAUCCAUGGAGGAUUGGUUACAGGACCCCCUGCAGAUACCCAAAUCUAUGGAUGCUCAAGCCUCUGAAAUAAAGUGGGUAGUAUUUACAUACAAUCUAUGCACAUCCUCCUGUACACCUUUAAUCAUUUCUAUGUUAUUUAUAAUACCUAAUACCUUGUAAAUGCAAUAUAAAUAGUUGUUAUGCUAUAUUUCUUAGAAAUAAGGACAAGAAACAAUCUAUACAUAUUCAGGUAAGACACAACCAUUUGUUUUCCUUCUCAAGUAUAUUCAAUCUAUGGUCGAUUGAAUCCACAGAUGCAGAACCCAUGGAUAAGGAGGGCUGACUGUAAUAUCAAAGAAAUGUCUGUUAUAAAAAAUGGAGAUAAUCUAUGCUGAACAAACCAAUACCGAUAAUAUUUUUCCAAGACAUCGAUGAAAGUACAAGCACAAUGGAGCUUUGGAAAAACAAAACAUACAAACAAAAAAGCCCAAAUAUUUUAUUUUCAUUAAUAUGUUGAAAACUGGUAAGCAGACAUAUUCCAACUCCAAUUCCAUUUCUACCUUAAUCCCAUUGCCCCCAAUUUCCCUAAACAUUUCUCUGAAAUUUCUUUUGAACUGCAUUGCAUUCUGUACACCAUUGUUCUUCAUUUCUCAGACUUUACUUGAAGCACAUUUGAAUCAAAUGAGCUCAACAUAUUUCCAUUUACCAUUUGUCUUGAGACCCUAAUACAUUGAUUUGCAUGUAGCAAGUACUCAAAGUAGUUGCUGUGAUUAUUAUUUUUAUUUAUAGUUGUAUUAUUAGCAAUAGCUACAUUAGUAAUAGUCUAAUCAGACUGACUCAUUAUCUCAAUUGCUCUUUAAAGUUGGUACCAAAUUUAAGUGUACUUUUCAGUUGAGGAAGCUGAGGCUUAGAGAGAUUAAAUGAUUAAGAGAUUAAGAACCAAGUCACACUAGUGGCAGCACCAUGACUCAAGUUCAGAUCUGCCUAACAACAAUGCCAGGCUCUUUUUAACUAAACUGACACACAUGUUUAAAAAUAUAUUCUGAUAAAGGGGUGAUUAAAAAAUAAAAAAUAGAAAGAUCAUAUAGAAAUGACUAUAUUUCAGCCGUACUUCCUAUUCCAGUCCCU